AAGUCGUAACAAGGUUUCCGUAGGUGAACCUGCGGAAGGAUCAUUAAAACAAUAAUGAAUGUCGGGGAGGGUGCUUCGGUGCAUUCCCCGUGUAUUCAACCAAACCCGCUCGUGUAUUUGGAUCAAAAAAACAAACAAAAUUUUUAACGAUAAUAAUUAAACAAACUUUCAACAACGGAUCUCUUGGCUCUC
rnacentral:misc_RNA from 1 species